rnacentral:rRNA from 1 species
UGAGGAAUAUUGGUCAAUGGGCGAGAGCCUGAACCAGCCAAGUAGCGUGCAGGAUGACGGCCCUAUGGGUUGUAAACUGCUUUUAUAUGGGAAUAAUGUGAGGGACGUGUCCCUUAUUGCAUGUACCAUACGAAUAAGGACCGGCUAAUUCCGUGCCAGCAGCCGCGGUAAUACGGAAGGUUCAGGCGUUAUCCGGAUUUAUUGGGUUUAAAGGGAGCGUAGGCUGUUUGUUAAGCGUGUUGUGGAAUGUAAGAGCUCAACUUUUAGAUUGCAGCGCGAACUGGGAGACUUGAGUGCGCACAACGUAGGCGGAGUUCAUGGUGUAGCGGUGUAAUGCUUAGAUAUCAUGACGAACUCCGAUUGCGAAGGGAGCUUACGGGAGCGCAACUGACGCUAAAGCUCGAAGGAGCGGGUAUCGAACAGG